rnacentral:misc_RNA from 1 species
CAACGUGAACGUGAACGUUUACGUGAACGUGGACGUUUACGUGGACGUGGACGUUUACGUGAAC